rnacentral:hammerhead_ribozyme from 1 species
ACCCAGUUGACGAGUUCCAAAUAAGACGAAAUGCGCAUCCUCGAU